GACGGAGGAUGCAAGUGUUAUCCGGAAUCACUGGGCGUAAAGCGUCUGUAGGUGGUUUAAAAAGUCCACUGUUAAAGAUUGAAGCUUAACUUCAAAAAUGCCGUGGAAACUUUUAAACUUGAGUAUGAUAGGGGUAGAGGGAAUUUCCAGUGGAGCGGUGAAAUGCGUAGAUAUUGGAAAGACCACCAAUGGCGGAGGCACUCUACUGGGCCAUUACUGACACUGAGAGACGAAAGCUAGGGGAGCAAAUGGG
rnacentral:rRNA from 1 species